UUUCCGGACGGAGGGAGUAGGAGCAACAUUAACACACUUCACAAGAACUAGAUAGACAGUGUACUUGUAGUACCAUAUGCUGCGAUAACGAAUACUGCCAGAUAUUCAGUCUGUUUACACAUUAACAUGACACCUUGUGUUCAGUGGCGUCACUCUUUAUCACAGGAAACUGCAAUGCAUGGUUUUUGUAUUAAAAAUUUGAAUGUCGUAUAAUUCGAAUGCAGAAAUUUACUCAAGGUAUAAAUUCAAGUCAUGUUAACAUCAUCAGUUUGUUAAACAUAACUUACAGAAUGGUACUCUUUUCGUAUCAUGAUGCUCAGGUUCCGUCCACUUGGUGACUUGCUUAGCUUGCCGCGGAACCGUAGUGUAUCUACUUUAUGCUUCUGAUCCAUCAUAAGUUAUUAGCGCAUUCAUGUUACGACACUAACUUGUCAACACCAAGGUGGUAAUCUUGCUUCAGAUCUUGGAUGAGUUACUGGGGCUGUUCAGGCCAUGACUCCAAAUUGCAAUUGCUAUCUUGAGGACGGGCAAUCUUGUGUAACUGAAAGUGAUAAUUCUUCAAAAACUCGGCUCUUGCUAUUCUCCAUGUAGUUUAUUUCAUUCUGCGACAUACUCCCUCCGUUCCUAAAUAUAAGUCUUUUGAGAGAUUUCAAAUGGACUACAACAUACGGAUGUAUAUAGACAUAUUUUAGAGUGUAGAUUUACUCAUUUUGUUCCAUAUGUAGUCACUUAUUGGAAUCUCUUAAAUGACUUAUAUUUAGGAACGGCGGGGGUAUUUGGUUUUGUCAUCAAAUGAUUGGACUAUUUUUUGAGCAUUUAUUUAUUACUCUUUUCCCUCCUGCAGAGUGCUCUUGCUUGCUAAAGGCACAGGCAUACACAAAUCUUUCAUCGUGCCAUUGUUUGUUCUGCAAGCACCUAGCACUGUAAUCUCAUGGAUCAAGAGUGAAUAUGGGAUGUGGACUGCUUUUCUUGCGCUUGCAGUGCGUUUGUUCUUACCCUUUCCAGGCGACCUAGAGCUUCCGCAGUCAACAAUGCUGGCGGUCAGCGUUGCUCCUUACCAGGUGAUGAAUGUGAGAUGUGCAAAGCAACAAUUAUAUACCCCACUGUGUUGGACCCAAAUACCUUCCGGAAAGAAGUUCUGAAGGGUGGGAUACUAGACAACCAUGUAAUUUCAGCUAUAUCUUUCUGUGUCAAACACAAAGGUUGAAUGUAUGGCUUAGCACUAACUUCAUGUGGGUUUUUCUGCUCAAGUUAUUUCAGUUAUAUGCCUCAGUUAAUACUUCGCAGGAUCUUGAGGAGUUCUUUUGUGUUGUAUUGCUUUGAAGGUGAAUCUCAUUCCUCGGAUUUUGCUCUGUUGUCGUAGCACUUUCAGAUUUGAAGUUAUGUUUCUCAAGUAAGAAGUAGUAUCUUUGUGCUUUUAGCAAUGAGAAUAUUUGAGGAACUACCUAUUACAACAUCAUUUUCUAGGAAAAUUAGAUCAUAACAAGAGACGAUGAAUCAUUUAUUUUCUUUGUUGUGGGUAGGGUCAAAUUUUGAAUUACCAAGCUUUUGUAUGAUUUUGAUUGACCAGGCUUGCUUGCUGCUUGCUUGUCAAUCAAGCUAUGUUGGUCGAUUUUAGAGACAAACUUGUCUUCGAAUAAGACUAUCUAGAAGCAGCAAGGCAAAGACAUCCAUUGCAUUACUAACUGGGAUAAUUUUGACUUGUUAGCUACACCCUUUGGAUGGUCCUAAUUGUAGAAAAUUAUUAUAGACAAUCAACCCUUCAAAUUUCACCAUCAUGAAAGAAUCUAAAUAUAGUAUGUUUUCUUCUCUUACUUUUUUAUUAUACUCUUCUACUCUUAUAAUUCAUCAAAUGCUAACUAUUACCGGCACUUUAAUGCUCGGAACCCCUGGUUGAUAAUUUAUAGUGGGUCAGUUCUGUGUUGAUUUCUCUCAUGAUGAUUGAUGCUUUGUUACAUAGAUAGAAAAAAAAUGAGAAAUCAGAUGGAGAAGGAAUGGCACAACCGUGAAAAAUAAGUCAGAUGCUUGUUGAAAGAUAUAUACUGUGAGUUUCAUAUAUUUUGGUUCUAUAAGGAUUCAAUUUUUUAAGGAGGCCGGAGUGGAGAAGUAGAUGUGACAUAGAGAAACAUGGCUAUGCAGGGGAAACGGGAAAUCACACUUUGACAAAUGUUUCUAUAGUCAUGUGUUAUUCUGUAGCCACUGAGCAAAUGCAUCGACAUACAUGUGUCAGAGACGCUGUAUGCUCUUUGAUUGUUGAUAAUUUUUUGUUUCUCGUGGACCUUGUUUGACUUUUGGAUGUGGUGUGAAUUCUAUGGGCUAAUAUGUCAAGCUUUCGAUGGUUCACUAUGUACGCUUGUUUGGUGAUUCAAUAUUUGUCAGUGUGGUAAUAAGCCACAUACGACACAAAUUCUUCUAUUUUGCCGAACACAUCCUCUUGAAGUACAAGAUAUUUUUAUAACCAUGUCUACAACUCAUGAUCUCUAUGCCUAAAUUUAUUGUUUGGUGCCAUUGUGACCAAUAUCCCUUAAGCUAUACGAGGUUUGAUUGAGAACAUGGAGAUACAUUUUGUCUUACUCGUGAUGAUAAGUAUGUAUGUCAACUAUUUUAUGGCCGAGUGCUUUUAGCAGAGGGCUUGUUAGGGCAAUGAGAGGACGGUUCUGGACCUUCUCCUCAACCAACGUUGACGGAGAGCAAUGAGUUGACUGUGUUUGCUGAUGACGGCGAUAAAACUGGCAAGGUGGGAGCACCAACAAUAAUGAUGAAUGACAUGAAAAUUUAUUGUUCCGUGACAACGCACGGACAUUAAACUAGUAAUAAUAGAUGAAAAAACUCAGGCAGAGUUGGCCACCGGAUUUUAAAAGGGAGCAGGGGCGUGAUCCACGUGACAUGUGAUAUGUGUCGUCGGAUCUUGCAGAAAAGAAAGGAAUGAACGAUUGGGAUUAAACGAGCCGGAGCUCGAUCCGUGGGAGUACCACCACGCGCGCCCACUCUGCGUUUGACCGAAAAACAUGGAUGUUCCCGCCUUUCGCUCUGGUCGACGCGACCGCUCGCGCUGAUUUUGAACGAAAAUUCAAUCCAAGGAGCGGGAAGGGACUGCUUUGGCCCACAAAAGAAAAAAGAAGAAAAGAAAACGCAACCAAACCACAGCCAGGCCGCGCGGCUUCUCUCUCUGUCUUGCUCCUCUCUCGAUCCCCUCCAGAUCCAACCGCCACCGCCGACCUCCGUCCUCUCCCCCAACCCCAGCUCCAACUCCGGCCUCCACUCCACCGCCGGCGAUCCAUCCGUUCCCCUCCUCUCGCUCGCCGUAGAUCCGCUCGAGCAGCGCAGCCCACGGUCAGAUCAGAUCCUCGCGCCCGGAACCCUAGCCCUCUGGCCAUGGCGACCGGCCGCAGCACAGGUUGGAGGUGCCACCAUGGAGUCCUCUGCCGGGGACGCCGCCCAAGUGCUCGUCAAGGCCCGCUGCUCCUUCUUCCUCCUUUUCCUCAAAUUCAAGGGCAAUCAGCAGCACACGCCAUCCUCAAGGCGCACGGUUCUUCUCUUCUCUGAUGGAUGGAUGGGUUGGUCGUGGAGGAGGAGAACGACCAGGAGAAUAGGGAUCCCGUCUCUUCUUUUCUCUUCAUCAAUGUCGGCCGCCCAGGAACAACGACCCAGCCACCCCUCAAGGAAAGGCAGGAGUGCAAACCCUUGGAGUUCAUGUAGAGUAUUCUGCCCUCAUGGGUCACAGAGGCCCUCCUUCCUCCGCCCUAUCAGAACCAGGCUGCCUGUUGUAUGUACAGCAGCAAAAAGAUUUGGAUGCAGACCGUGGUGGUUUCUUCAUAGUACACGUGCAGCCAGCCGUGUAUGUUCAAAUUCUCCCUGACGCCGUGUGAUGCUAGUGAUUUUGCCUGCCAUGCCGCAACCACGACGGUGGCGAUGUCCGGCCUCGGCUACAACUUGCACAGGAUUUGGCCUCUGGAUGGGUUUCUCGUGCCAGGCACCUCGACGACUUUUGCUAUGCUGUGGUGUUGUUUGGCAUUGGCUACACAAUAGCUAUGGAUUCGAUUCGGUACAAUAAGGGGUUCGUCGUGCCAGGCUUCACGGCGCUGCUGCUUCCAUGUGACGGACUGACGGUGUUGUUUGGCAUCGGCUACAAAAACAGCCAUGGUGUCUCUGUUUACUAGUACUUGAGAGGGAAUUGGAAGUAGUUUGUCAACUGAAGCUUGGUCCUGCUCGACACCAAGGAGAGGCGCAAGGGGGUGCCUAGCACCGGCGCCGAAGAAUGCUGGUGCUCCUCUUCGUCUUCGACCUGCUCUGCUCCUUCAAGGUGAUAGCCGAAUGGUAUACGCGCGAGAUUCAUCUUCCACUCAAACGCCUCACGCCCUGCCCCUCCAGUAGCUGAUUCUUCUUCGACUCUGUCACAUGUGGCAAUCGGUGACUGGCGUGUUGAUUGGAUCCAAGGGAGGAGCUUAUGGUGUGUUGACACCAGUCUGUCCUUAUCUUGUGGCGUUGACAUCAUAAUCAUGUCCAGCCGAAAGGUAUCCAAUGUUCCCCUCUAAUUGGAAGAAAACUAAUCAGUUUGGCCCCUUCCACUCGAGGAUGACUACCUCAUAUAUGUCCCUGGACAUCCUGUUAAAAGCAACGAGCAGAUGCUACAGCUACAAUUAAUUGUCAACACCUGCACUGUUCUUGAGAUAUCAUUAGUUUUUACACAUGGGAUUACUUCCGCAUGGGUCAAUCACAACAGGUGUUUUAUGAAAAAAAUGCAUCUUGAUGUUCCGUGUAAUGCACGGGCAUCUUGCUAGUCACAGUAUAUAUGUGGUCUAUGUACCAUGAUCUCAUGCGAGUAGUUUUUAUUCCAAGGAUGCCUUCCUACUCCUGCUAGUUCUAAUGUCAUACAGUUUGAAUAAAUCGAAAUGAAUCCGAUUCAUGGUUGAGUAUUUUGUUUUUGAUGAUUCAGGGCAACAAUCUAUUGGUCAAUUUGCAUUCCCUCUAAUGUCCUUUGCUCUCUUUGUCCCGCUCAAUUACCCAUCAUUUUUGUAUAUCUUGGUGUUGUAUGCUAGAUCAAUGAGCCAGCCAACCAUGCAUGUUGUGAUGUGAAAAUUUCGUCAAUUUCAUUUGAUGUGCGUAUGGAUGGAUCCAGACCCAAGUCAAGUCGUCCUUGGUUGCCUGCCAUGCUGCUUUUACUAGUAAAAGCAGUGGCGGGCCAUUUUAUGUAUGUAAGCUUGUUGUGUUGAAUUCUGAAAGCAAGGUAGGAUUUUUUUUGCUUGGCUCCUGGGUUUCUCUCCUCUGUGUGCUCCUGUUCGGUUUUGUUUUGAUGCUUGCACAUAUCGAAGGCUUUCUAGGCGUCAUUAUCUAAAGGCCUUUUUUAGCUCAGUGUUUGUGCCAAAUAAUAUAUGUUUGUCUCCUUGCCUUGUGAUCUCCAGCAGUGCUACCCUGGAGACCAUGCAAGAAUGAAGAACACACUUGAAAAAUGGAUAGUAAAAAUAUGUCUUUUUAACCCUGCUUGAUUCAGCAUUUUAGUACAGGCCACUCACACUCACUGUUCUGUUCUGUUCUGCUCCUGUAUCCAUAGAGGGCCGGGAGCUUGCAGCAACUGUGGAUGAGGUCCCAGUGGAGGUAGUGCGAGAAAUCCAAUGGAGGAGAUCAAGUCUUGUGGGGAAAAGUGCGCAAGCCUUUGCAAAG